rnacentral:piRNA from 1 species
AUCUGAGAAUCUGAGGUCGGCCAAG